ensembl:snRNA U2 U2 spliceosomal RNA
AUCACAUCGGCCUUUUGGCUAAGAUCAGGUGUAGUAUCUGUUCGUAUCAGUUUAAUAUCUGAUAUGUCCUCUAUCCUUCUAUUCUUGAAAUAAAUUCUGCUUGGUAACUAUU